rfam:Dichanthelium oligosanthes cultivar Kellogg 1175 unplaced genomic scaffold Do_version_2_scaffold861, whole genome shotgun sequence.
AACAUACUCCCUCCGUUUUAAAUUCUAGGUCGUUUUGGGUUUUCUAGAUACAUAUGUUUUUGUAUGUAUCGAUACAUACAAAAACAUAUGUAUCUAGAAAACCCAAAACGACCUAGAAUUUGAAACAGAGGGAGUAUCAU